GAAGCGUCUGGAAAGGCGCGCGAUACAGGGUGACAGCCCCGUACACAAAAAUGCACAUAUUGUGAGCUCGAUGAGUAGGGCGGGACACGUGGUAUCCUGUCUGAAUAUGGGGGGCCCAUCCUCCAAGGCUAAAUACUCCUGACUGACCGAUAGUGAACCAGUACCGUGAGGGAAAGGCGAAAAGAACCCCGGCGAGGGGAGUGAAAAAGAACCUGAAACCGUGUACGUACAAGCAGUGGGAGCACGCUUAGGCGUGUGACUGCGUACCUUUUGUAUAAUGGGUCAGCGACUUAUAUUCUGUAGCAAGGUUAACCGAAUAGGGGAGCCGAAGGGAAACCGAGUCUUAACUGGGCGUUAAGUUGCAGGGUAUAGACCCGAAACCCGGUGAUCUAGCCAUGGGCAGGUUGAAGGUUGGGUAACACUAACUGGAGGACCGAACCGACUAAUGUUGAAAAAUUAGCGGAUGACUUGUGGCUGGGGGUGAAAGGCCAAUCAAACCGGGAGAUAGCUGGUUCUCCCCGAAAGCUAUUUAGGUAGCGCCUCGUGAAUUCAUCUCCGGGGGUAGAGCACUGUUUCGGCA
rnacentral:rRNA from 1 species